GGUCUCGUGGUGUAGUGGUUAUCACGUCUGCUUUACACGCAGAAGGCCGCCGGUUCGAACCCGGCCGGGACCU
rfam:Bursaphelenchus xylophilus, Ka4C1 (inbred line), WGS project CADV01000000 data, contig: scaffold00609.37